rnacentral:rRNA from 1 species
ACCAGCAGCUAGCUCUUUAAAUCUCACAUGGUCGACUACUGAAGUUAAGCAGGGCUGUGCCUGGUCAGUAACUGGAUGGGAGGCCACAUGGGAAAGCUAGGUUGCUGCCGGUA